UCGGAUGGAAUUAAAUUAUCUUAGCGGCGGACGGGUGAGUAACGCGUGAGAAACCUGCCUUUCACAAAGGGAUAGCCUCGGGAAACUGGGAUUAAUACCAUAUGAUACUUUUACUUCGCAUGAAGCAAAAGUUAAAGCGUAAAGCGGUGAAAGAUGGUCUCGCGUCCCAUUAGUUAGUUGGUGAGGUAACGGCUCACCAAGACCGCGAUGGGUAGCCGGCCUGAGAGGGUGAACGGCCACACUGGAACUGAGACACGGUCCAGACUCCUACGGGAGGCAGCAGUGGGGAAUAUUGCACAAUGGAGGAAACUCUGAUGCAGCGACGCCGCGUGAACGAUGAAGGCCUUCGGGUCGUAAAGUUCUGUCCUUGGGGACGAUAAUGACGGUACCCAAGGAGGAAGCCCCGGCUAACUACGUGCCAGCAGCCGCGGUAAUACGUAGGGGGCGAGCGUUGUCCGGAAUUAUUGGGCGUAAAGGGUUCGUAGGCGGUUAUUUAAGUCAGAUGUGAAAGGCAUAGGCUCAACCUGUGUAAGCAUUUGAAA
rnacentral:rRNA from 1 species